ACAAUUUGACGCUCGCGGUGAAACCAUCUUGGGCAGCCGCGGUGUACAACUGGCAGCUUGCUCCUGGGUCCCCACCAGCACCAGCUCUCGCC
rnacentral:SRP_RNA from 1 species